AGCUGACUGGAUUUGGGAGGAGAGAAGGGGAGAGGCCGACCGGACUCAGGAGAGGCUGGGAGGAUAAAAUCGAUGACAGGCUCUAGUCACUUCUUUUGUAUCCCUCUGCCGCCGCUCUUCACCGCUUCAAAAGGGGAAACUGGCAUCCAGGCAGUUGGAAUGAGGUUAUCUAUAUAAGCAGAUUCUUUACCAUCUAAGCCACCAAGGAAGCCAUCUAUAUAAGCCAAAGCCCCCAAAUGUGAAGAUCUCUUCCUCUGUACAUGCAUUCAGCUGAAAUACAAGAGAAAGUGGCUCCAAGCUUUCCAGAUGAAAACUGGGUCAUCCCAGAGACUCUGACAUGUUAACAUAUUAGAACAUGUUAGAACCAGACAUGGAACAACAGACUGGUUCCAAAUUGGGAAAGGAGUAUGUCAAGGCUAUAUAUUGUCACCCUGCUUAUUUAACCUAUAUGCAGAGCCCAUCAUGUGGAAUACCGGGCCGGAUGAAGCACAAACUAGACUCAAGAUUGCCAGGAGAAAUAUCAAUAACCUCAGAUACGCAGAUGAUACCACCCUUAUGGCAGAAAGUGAAGAACUGAAGAGCCUCUUGAUGAAAGUGAAAGA